AAGUAGGGGAAGUAGGCCAGGGCGAAGCAGUUCCCGAAGUGGAACAGCGUCAUGGCGCCGGCCGCCCGGCUCGCCGGAGCGCGCCUCUCUGCCUCGGCGGCCUGGCGCCCGAGCCCGGGCCUGGCGCGCCCACCUGCCUCUGCCGCGGCGCGCGCGGCCUUCUGGGAGCCGGAGUCCGCGGCGCGGUGCGCUAACGUCACCAGGCUCCGCCGCGGUGCCCGGGCGACCCGCGGGAGGCCGAGCCGGGGCCUGCGCGGUCCCAGCCCCGCGGGAGCCGCUCUCGGGGUCAGGGCGCGGGCCUAGCGAGCGCGUGCGGGGUGGGCCUGGAUCCCGGACCCGACCUCGCUGUGACCGGCGCAGAGACACGGGGCGCAGCUGAAAUGAGCUUCACGAAGUUGUCGUUGAGCGCGAUGCCGGCCUUAGCAUCAAAGAUAGACGAAUGGGUAUCGCCAACAAAGUCCGUGGACACGACCUGGCCAUCAGAAUGUCAAAGAUAAGCGUGGGUCGCAGAGCAGGGACCUCCAGGAGCUCAGGCUCGUGGGCACACUGUCCAUCCAUUCAUCUACAGUAUUUGAUGGAGCCCCACUCUGUCCAGCUUCUGGGGACAGGGUAUGAGGAAGACAGAUGGGGGCUUUUCAGGUAGGGGACUGGCCAAAGGAUACAGACUGCAAACAGCCUCUGAUGCUGCACCAACAGGCAUCUCUUCCUGGGAAAAAUGCACGUGGAAUGUGUCAGCGAGAGGCCCUCCCUGAGGGGAGGCAGUGAGUCUGGCUCUGGAUGAUUAGGAGGAUCUGGUCAACUCCAGCCCUCAGCAGGGUCUCAGGUGGAAGGAAGUGCAGCACAAAGGCCCUGGGGGUUUGGCCCUAGCAUGGUGGAAGGCCACAGGAAGGUUUUCAGCUCCGGGGGUGAUGUGAUCUGAUUUCUUUAAGAGAUCCUGGCAGCUGUGUGAGGGUGGACCUUCAGGAGCUAAAGCAGGGAGACAGCACCAAGGUGGACGGACAGAGCUGGCACUUCUGGGAGCAAAGAGACGCGAUAUCCAUUCCUCACAGGGAAGGCAUCUGGCUGUGGCCUGCCCCGAGCGAGUGUUGAGAAAUGGGAGCCCUUGUCUUGUUCACUAAGCAUGUAUUGAGCACCUGCUAUGUGCCAGGCCCUGGGAAGAUGGCUGGAGCUAUGGAAGUGAAAAACGAGGCCCAAAGUCUCUGUUGUCUUGGAGUGUACAUGCUAGCAGGGCCAACAGUGACUAUGAAAUGAUAUUUCAGGAUUGGCAGAAUGAAAGCAUUGCUGAGACAUGAAGAAAUGCUCCAGUUAGUGACUGAGGAGAGGCCGGGCCCUAAAGCUUCAGGAAUGGGUCAGAGGCCGGGGCGACUCACCCAUUGAUGCCAACAGUCAGCUCCCGAACCACGGAAACCUUAGGUGCAGGAGGCGGAGGUGGUGGGACUUGCUCUUUGAUUGGCUGGGGCUCCGGUGGGGGUGGUGCUCUGGUCACUGUUGGGAGUGGGGGAGGGGCAGUGGGCCGCACCAUGACUGCGACAGAAUGAGCCAUCUUUGCCACCCAGAACCUGCUGCUGGCUCCUGGCCCUGAGUGGCCAACCAUGUAGCCCAGUGUUUCCUAAACCGACCUGAUCAACAGAAUGAGCAGGGGGUGGGCUUGCUUUAAAAUAUGCCAGGGCCUCUUCCCCGGAGAUUCUAACUCAGUGGGUACAUAUUUUUAACAAUUGCUUAGGGGUGAUAGUCUCUGUGCCUCAGUUUCCUCUUCUGUAAAAUGGAGAUGAUAAUAGUACUUCUCUCAGAGGGUCACCGUGAGGAUUAAACGAGUGAUACAUGUAGUGCUUAUGAUAGAGUCUAGGAAACGUUCCACGUACAUUAAUAUUUCAAAGAUCAUUUCCCAAACUUGCCUGAUAAUCCAUCUAGUCCAGUGGUCCCCAAACUGUUCUGGUAAGAAUCACCGGGAGGCUGAUUCCUAGGGAAAUCUGACUCUGGGUUUGCACUGAGGCCCAGGAAUCCUGUUUCCAACAAGGUGAUUCUUACCCUCAGAGAAGUUUAGGAAACACAGGUCUAUCGUAAUAUAUGAAACAAAUGGAAACCCAUAUCAGCUUCUGCCUCUCCAGACACACAGAUCCGCACCCAUGCUGCACUGAGAACACCUGUGCUUGAAGCUGUGCUACCUGAGCUACAGGGUGGGGUACAUGGGCUGGAGGAGAGCUGCUGCGCUGGGAAGGAAGAGCCCGGAGGAGCUUCAGUGAUGAAGCCUCACCCGGUAGGUGAAACACUGGAUCGGGCGCGCUCUCUACCAGUUACAACGACGCUCCCAUUUCCUGGGUGCCACCAAGGGCUAGGUGCGGUGCCGAGCUCUUCACGUGCAUCAGCUCAUUGAAUCCUGUGAGGUACGUGCUAUAUACCCACUUCACAGAGGGGAAACCGAGGCCCGAGAUCACUGAGCGAGUGAUAAGCAGGGAGGGUUUUCAAGGCCCACAGCUGUUAACCUGCCUGCUGCUGCGUCUAGCAGGGUCUCCAGGACCCUGGAGCCCCGCCCAAGCCCCGCCCCACGUCGGCCACGCCCACCCCUGCGGUGCUGAGGCCGCCGACUGCCUGGCCCGAGGCCAGGGAGGAGGCCGGGAGCGAAUGGGGUGGCCCUCCGGAAGGCCUGGAUUCGUCUGGCUGGAGCGUGUGCGCGCACCUCUGGCCGGGGGAGGUAGGGCGAGCAGGGACCCCGAGUCCCAACUCCACUAUUCCCGUGCUGAGACCCAGAAACGUGCUUUGUGUCCUCUUACAUCUGGUGGCCGCUCUGUAAAAUGGGGACACUAAACACUGGCCUCAGAGGUGGCUGUGAGGCUUCACUGAGCGCACACCUGUAAAGUGCUCGGCACCCGGCGCGCUCAAGUGUCCUCGCUUUGUGCGAUCCAGGGAGGACAAAGUCCACCAAUCCCCAAGCGGCUCUUUCGCAGCAGCGUUAAUUUUAUGUGAAACCUCGCUCGCCCAGGCACUUCAACAACCAGCGGCCGUCCUCAGAGGUGUCCCCUCGUAAACCCGGCUCCGGCCUCCCUCCCGGCCCCUGUUUCUACCCUUCCACCGCGCUAUUGGUGCAAAACCCAACCUGGGGGCAGGGGUCUUCGUCCCCUCCACCAUUGCCAUAGAAACCACUUUGCCGGCAAAGCCGGUGGUGAGGAGGGUGGGGCUGGAGGGAGCAAGGGCAGCUGCUCCGGAUGGAAGAGCCCCGGCAGGCAAGGCCACCCCGCACCUCCUGCCCGGCUCCCGGUGGACACUACUGGUGCGCCGCUCGCCGGCAGGUACUCAGACCCGGCUACAGGAGCUCCCCGACCGCCCUUCCCUCCCCUCCCCGGGGGCACUCCGCCGCCUCCCUCACCUGGGCACGGCUGUCGCAGGAGCUGGACAACGGUGACAUUGGUGAGGAUGACGUCGCGUUUCGACAUGGCCUCCUAAGGUUUCAUGGCCCAGCCAGCUGCCUCGGCACCCGCCGCGAUGUUACUGCGAGACGGGGGCUCGGGGGCUGGAGGAGCUGGAGCUUCUUGCCGUGACGUCACAGCCCAGUGACGUCACAAGAGGAGGCAGCGCGAAGGCCCCCUCCCAGUCGAGGCGUGUGGCCGUGUACCACCGUUCCAAGCCCACCCCUGGCGUCUAGAAUGGAAUCCAACAUUUUACACUGGUCUUCAAAGCCCUUUCUCUGCUGUCUUCUUUCUUCUUUCUUCUCUUUGGGCACACUGGCUCCAUGCCGUUCUGGACCCUCUUCUGGAUAGUUACCCUAGCUAUUUCUUUGUGCCUGGAAGUCCUACCCAGGUCUUCCCUUGGCUGCCUCUUGGUUUCCCUCAGGUGCCACCCUUUAAGAGAGGCCCUCCUAACUCCACAUCUAAAGUUCUCUCCUUUCUCAGUCACUAUCUGCCAUCACCCCCACUCCCUCCAUCUACCCAUCGUCCGGGAAGCCUUGUGUGACUUCCCAUCCUGGGUUAAAUAUUCCAAUGUGCAAAACUGCUCUAGGGUUACACUCUAUAUUUUCCACGCAGCAUAUGUCUCUCUAAAAAUCAUCCUGUUUAUUCAUUUGUUAGCUUGCCAAUUGUCUCUGCCCACUAGAGAGUGCUUG